GCAGUCGCCGCGGUAAUACGUAGGUGGCAAGCGUUGUCCGGAAUUAUUGGGCGUAAAGGGCUCGCAGGCGGUUUCUUAAGUCUGAUGUGAAAGCCCCCGGCUCAACCGGGGAGGGUCAUUGGAAACUGGGAAACUUGAGUGCAGAAGAGGAGAGUGGAAUUCCACGUGUAGCGGUGAAAUGCGUAGAGAUGUGGAGGAACACCAGUGGCGAAGGCGACUCUCUGGUCUGUAACUGACGCUGAGGGGCGAAAGCGUGGGGAGCGAACAGGAUUAGAUACCCGUGUAGUCCCUGUCUCUUAUAC
rnacentral:rRNA from 1 species